GAUAAUUGUUUUUCCAGUCUCUGUUGUAAAUCCUGAAAGUAUUUAUCUGGGAAGCUAAACAUGGCCUCAAGUGAAAUAGCCCUUGGUUUCCCAUGGUGCUCUUCACUGCUAUCGCUAUACCCUCAAAAACAGGAGUACUGUCUUAUAUGUGCAAUCUAAAAUGUGGCACUAAAGAACCUAUAUACAAAACAGAAACAGACCCACAGACAUACAGAAGAGGCUUGUGGUUGCCAAGGGGUAUGGGGGAGGGAUUGGGAUGGACUCAAAGUUUGGAGAUAGUAGAUGCAAACUACUACAUUUAGAAUGAGUAAGCAAUGAGGCCCUACUGUACAGCAUAGGGAACUAUAUCCAGUCUCUUGGAAUAGAAUAGAAUAUGAGAAAAAGAGAUUUGGUCACUAUGCUAUACAGAAGAAAUUGGCACAACAUUGUAAACCAACUAUAAUAAAAAUAAUUAGGAGUGUGUGACCAUCUUCCAAAACUUAUUAUGUACUUCCUAGAAUUCUGUACCAUUUUACUCAGGGUGGGGGUGGAGAGAGACGGAGGCAGAGGGAAAGCGGGUAAAGAGGGAGGAGGAGAGAGACAGAGAGAGAGAUUAGCUGACUCUUUAUGACUUCCUUCAAAAUAAUACCAGGCAGACUACACUUAGCGGAGACUUCCAGGGUCCUGGCAUGUGAUUGGCACCUUUCCCUAGUUUUGGUAAUUUGGCAAGUUUCCCAUUCAACUUGUGUUUGUUUUCAGUUAUCACGGGCAGUAUCUAAAGGGGAAUUUAUGUGUUUGCUCUUACACUGCCUUAUUUUUCCAGAAACAUACCAAUUGUUUUGAAUAUAUAAUAUGCAUCAAUCAUAGUUCUAAUCAAGACAAAUAACGGGCUCUUCCUAACAUCAGACAGCUUAUAUUUUUUUGCAUGACCAGUUUAAUUAAGAGCUUGGUCAGUCUGCUCAUGCCUGGUACCUCUUUUCAAUUCUGUGUAUAAAUGUAGCCACCUGCCAAGACUUGGUUGUUCACAUGGUUGUCAGGCAUCAAUCAGAAAGACAUGUGACUAGAGCAGUUUCCAGAUUCAAAGAGAACAGAAGUAGACUAGCCUGUUCUUCAGAAAAGAAUUAAAGAGAACAUACAGGGCAGGAGUUUUCUUGCUAGUGGUAUCAAUAUCUCAGAGGCAGAACUAGGGAACAGACUAAAAAAGAGACUC
rnacentral:lncRNA from 1 species